rnacentral:rRNA from 1 species
CAGCAGCCGCGGGAAAACGUAGGUGGCAAGCGUUGUCCGGAAUUAUUGGGCGUAAAGCGCGCGCAGGUGGUUUAAUAAGUCUGAUGUGAAAGCCCACGGCUCAACCGUGGAGGGUCAUUGGAAACUGUUAAACUUGAGUGCAGGAGAGAAAAGUGGAAUUCCUAGUGUAGCGGUGAAAUGCGUAGAGAUUAGGAGGAACACCAGUGGCGAAGGCGGCUUUUUGGCCUGUAACUGACACUGAGGCGCGAAAGCGUGGGGAGCAAACAGGAUUAGAUACCCGAGUAGUCCCUGUCUCUUAUAC